rnacentral:lncRNA from 1 species
GGCUGCAGUGUUCUGGGCUUUGGCUUUAGUAAGCCUCUGCUGCCAGCUACCUUCCAAUGCCCAAGCACCUGCAUCUGUGCCGGCAAACUCGCCACCUACAACCCUAGCUGCAACAUCCCCGUCUUCUGGCACGCCACCGGCAGUAACACAGGCAGCAUCCCCUCCCACCACAAGUAAUCCACCAACUAUUUCCCAGCCACCUGCAAUUGUAGCUCCCAAACCUGCUCCAGUGACACCACCUGCUCCAAAAGUUGCACCAGCUUCAAGCCCAAAAGCACCAACACCCCAAACUCCACCACCACAACCACCAAAAGUAUCACCUGUCGCAGCUCCCACAUUGCCACCCCCACUACCUCCACCACCUGUUGCUACGCCACCGCCGUUGCCACCACCAAAGAUAGCUCCAACACCGGCCAAAACAUCCCCUGCACCUGCACCAGCAAAGGCAACACCAGCACCUGCUCCUGCACCUACAAAGCCGGCUCCAACACCAGCUCCCAUUCCUCCACCGCCAACACUGGCACCAACUCCAAUAGUAGAGGUACCAGCACCUGCGCCAUCGUCACAUAAGCAUAGAAGGCACAGGCACAGGCACAAGAGACAUCAAGCACCAGCUCCAGCACCAACAGUUAUUCACAAAAGUCCUCCGGCACCACCUGAUUCCACAGCAGAAUCAGACACAACACCAGCACCAUCACCAAGUCUGAAUUUGGUAAUAUCUUUGUCUAGUGAAAUAUCAAAUUACAUUAAAAUUACACACAAAUAUGUCUCAUCUGUUUCACAUUGUUUUGAUCACAUUUUUUACUUCCUCAUUUCACAGAAUGCUGCACCAUCAAACCACCAGCAAAGGAGUAUACAGGCAACGGCUGCACUUGCCAUCACUGUUUUGCUAGCCGUCACCAGCUACAGCUGCUAGCAGCCUCAUGGAGACCAUGGAUUCACUUUAAUGAGUUAUUUGGCUUGCAAAAUAUAUAAUCAUUUAAUGUGUAUAGAUCUGAAUCAUGAGAAUCUAUACCUAUGAUUCUUUUUUUUUUUUUUUAUUGUUGUUAUCUUUGCUCAGAAAUAUUAAUGGAUAUGAAUUUUUGAAUUAUGACAAUAAUCUGGAGAUGUUAAACAAAAUGUCUCUAGUUUUAUAAGUUAUUUCAUCAAACUUGAUCAGUUUCUGAGUCUAUGUUUAUUUUCUCCCGAAAGUCAUAAAACUCCCUGAUAAGUCCAAGAUUGUCAACUAAUUUGUUAUGCCUUAGAUAUCCUGCACACUAGUAAGAUGAAAUUCCCAUCAAUUACUUACAAAGAAUAUGUAUUUGCAUAACACUAACUUUACAAAAUAUGUCUAUAAAGAAUGAAGGAAAGCAUGAGAAAAUAAUAUGACCAUCAUCAAUAAGGUUUCCAAAGACAAACGCAUACUCAGCAGCACAAGAUUAAAAUGUAACCACAAAACUGGUCGCUAGACAAUGAGCACAUAUAAAACUUUAACACACUUGCACACAUUACCCAUUCCAUAAGUUAAUGAACUUUCAGAACAAGUUGACACACAGCAAUGCAAUCCAGUUACUCCCUUUGUAUGAUAAACACCAGACUCAACCAGGAGAGGGUAGAUGGCUGGAAAUUUAUUUUUCAAUUCCUGAAGGAAAAAAAUUGGUGUUCCAUUUUGAUAUUUUAUAGAAUAAAGAUAUGGUGAACAUUAAUAUGUUACAUACACAUAAACAGGGAUCGGAUAUGGCAAGUUGGCAACUAGUGAGAGGUUGAUGAACCAACAAAGAUAGUCUUAAUUUAAAAUACCAAACUUGGCGGAAACGUGAUUCCGUUAUAUACAUUUUUUUUGUACUUCUAAAAAGGUGUUUUCAGAAUUAUGUUAGCAUAAUUUCAGAAAGGUGUUUCCAGAAUGCAUGUUAUUUUUGUAGAAAAGCUACUAUGAAAAAACUUUUCUGGAAAUUGAUUUUGGAAACUUGUUUAUGGAAAACAUGAAUUUUGUUUUCCAGAAAAGUCUUUCCAGAAUUAUGCUAACAUAAUUUUGAAAAGGUGUUUUUGGAAUACAAAAAUCAUGUUUGUGUGGUGCUGAUGUCUGUGUGUUGUUUGCAAGGUGUUGGGUGGUAUUGGGUGGUUGCAACUGUGGUGGUGGUAGUGUUUGGGUGUGUAGUUAGCUGGAGAUGGGUUAUGCAUGGGAGAGGCAAGGGUAUUAUCGUUCAUUUGAGACUUUUUGGGGGGUGUAGGAAGUAAAAGCUUCCCAUGUGUCUUAUGUUUUUAAAAUUUGACUUAGUUUUUGGAUAAGGGAGUUGUUGUUCUCAUCCUCUAAAAUGCUAUUCUCACCCUUUUCAUUUUGGAAAAUUGUAAGAAGAUAAUGUUAUCUGUAACAUCCCAUUUUUUUCAUAGAUUAAUUCAAAAAAAGUUGUUAUUUGUAAAUAAAUAAGUUUUAUGAUAAGGUUUUUGUAAUUAAAUAAAUAAAGAGAAAUAAGUGUAUUAAAAUAAUAGUUUGAUAAAAAAAAUAAAGAGGAUAUUUUAUUUAUUCAUCUGAUAGAGAAUAAAAUAGAGUUUGUUUUUAUAAAAUAAUAAAAAUAAAUAAAAUAAUAGGUUGUGAGUACCCUAGGUAUAAAUAACGAUAUGUUAGGUCAGGAAAACGACGAUCUCGGACUCAUUCACCGUUGUAUCAUAGUGAAAUUUGAGCACCACGUUCGCAACCCAAUUCUGAGCAUUCUCACCGUUGGGAAUUGCAAAAACAUGUCGAAGCUAAGAGAAAUACCCUUUGCAUCGUAGCUUUCUCUUUUCUCGUAGAAACCCAAAACGGUCUCAGUAAAACUAUGAUCUCAGUUUCAUUAACCGUUGGAUUUUCAUGAAAUUUUAAUUUGUAGUUUGCAAUUCAAUUCCACACACUUUCACCAUUGGGAUUUGCGAGAUAAUAUUCACUGAGAGAGAAAAAGGAAUCGCACGAAGACAGUACAUAUGAAGGCUUCAAUCCCUUCUCUGUCUCUCUGACAUUUGGAAACUCUAUCAGAGCAGUCGGAGGAAAAACUGGAGGAAUCUUAGGGAACCGCUAGAGAUGCAGCUAUCGCUGUCGGAAGACACGUGAUUCUGCUUAGAGGUAAGGGAUGAGUUAUUCACAAUUGAAGGUUAGUGAAAACAUGUGUAGAGAUCCUUAAAGGAUUAAAUUGGGAUUUUAUUUUUGGAUGUUUAUUAAAUUGCAAUUUUUCCUUUAUAAUUAUAAAUAAAAUAUUGAUGUUCUGAUGAGAAUUGCUUGAUAAAUUAUGUUCUUGAUAUUUGUAUAUUUUGACCUAUGAUUUUGAUAUAAUUGUGUAAUAUUAUUUGAAGGGUUUUAGUCCCCAAGUUGUGAUAGUCUUUUGUAUAAAUUGUUAUAUUGAGGAUAUGAAAUGAUGAUUCAAAUUGUGAUUAUGUGGUGGAUUGAACAUGUGAUGAAUGAUGGAAUACAUGUAUAUUGAGAUGUGUAUUGUGUUGUGAGCUAUGAAUUGUGAAAUCACACAAUUGUAAGACCCUUUAAGGGCGAUGAGUUUUAUGCGACGAGUAUUGUGAUGUGAUCCAUUGUGGAAACCCGACAAGUUUAAUCACAAGCGCGACGAGUUAAAAUGGUUUUGAAAAUAAUUGAGUAGUUGUGUGUAUUGCAUAAUUCACAGGUAAAGUGAAUAUGAUUCGUGAGUCUGAUAACAUGCUAUUUUGAGAUUAUACCAUUCUAAUUGAGAUCGAGUGUAUGUGAUAAACUGAGUAUGCGCAUGAUUGAGAUGUUGUGUGCAUUGAGUUGUAAACUGUGGAUUGUACAAUCGCACGAUUAUUAGACCCUUUAAGGGCGACGAGUUAAUGUUAAGACCCUUAAAGGGGGACGAGUUAAAAAUAUUUAAGAACAAUUGAGGAGUCGUGUGUUUUGUAUAGUUCAUAGAUAGAGUCUGUGUGCUAAAAUAUUUUCUGGGUUGGACCUGAAUCAGGAAGGAGAGGCCCUGACGGACUCUUCACAGUGUAGGCUUUGUGGGUCACCCGGUUUGAGUGCUCCUUUAAGCCUGUGCCGAUCCCACAUGGUUGGAGCAUUCUCGCAAAACACUGUGACCCUGACUGGUCUCCCUAUGAUAUUACCUUGUGAGAGUGACUUGACUUGCUAGUGUGUGGUUUGUCUUGUCAUAUACUCCUAGGCGCCCGACGAGAUUUUUCACUGACAUGGUACCACAUUGCAUAUAAGAUUAAGUCUUAGUGUAUCUGCUGCAUAACACUUGUGUAUUGUUCUAUAUUGAUUGAUUUGAUGAUAAUGUGUUUUGACUAUUAAGUAUGCGAAUGUCGUGAAAACGAAUGAGACGUGUGGUGAAAUAACGUGAGUUAUGCUCAAGUAAAUUGUAUUUUGUUAUAUAAUAUUUAUACCUAUAUGUUGUCUUAUUUUUCUCUAUUAGUUAGGAAUGUGAUAACUUACUUCCUGUGUGUUGUUUGUGUUUGGAUCCUGUGAUGAUCUUGAACUUUAUGUUCGGGGGAGCAGAUGAUUAAGUGAAUUUCUUUAAGGAACCUUGUGUUGAAGGACGUUGGGACACAAUGCUCUAAUAAGAUGUGACAUUAGGAUAUAAGUUACUAUAUUAAUUGUAUGAGGUCUUUGACAACCUUGUUUUGAGCCGAAAUGAUUUAUUAAUUAUUUGAACAAGUUUUAUUAUGAAUUAGAGAAGUGAAUGUGAGCCUUUUAUCCUUUUGAGAGACUUGUAUUUAAAUGUAUUUUAAAAACUUUUAAUUAAAUCUGAUCUCUUAUUUCUUUUAUUUAUUUAUAUAAAUGUCGGGGUAGAGGGUGUCACAUUAUCUCUCUUCAGUUUCCCUUCACCUUUCUCUUUCCCUUCCCAUUCUUGCUACUGCACCCCCCCCCCCCCCCCUCCAACUCAUCACCUUUUUUCGAUGUUUUGGUGCCAACAAAAACAUGAUUUGGUUGUUACUCCACCAUGGAAUCAUGAUUUUGUUUUGAGUAGAACAUAGUCAUAUUUUGUUGUACAAUUGUAUAUGCAUAAUGAAAAUUUUUUUUUGUGUUUCUCAAUUGAAACACUCAUUGAAAAUCGUAUUUUCAUUAUGGAUUUACAAAUGAUACAUAAGGAAAAUAUGAUUUUGUUGUGUUUUUCAAAAUAAUUGUAUUUUUUAGGAAUUAAAAUCAUAUUUAAGCUUUUAAAUUUUGGAGAACCAAGAACAAAAUAUGACUCAACUUUAAAAUACUAAAAAUAUAUUUAAAUCUUUUUUUAAAAUCAGCUCUAUUUCCACUCCUUCCUUCUGUUUCUCGGUUGUUCCCUGCUACCAAACAUAGAGUGCAAGUCUCCAAUGAUUUUGACUUCCAAAAAUCCCGACCUCAAACUUCUAAAAGCUAUAAGCUCUUUCCUCUUCUCAUUAAGGCCUUAAGUGGGUUUUAAUUCGCACAUUUUGCACCUAACUUUACUUAUCAUAAACUAUUUAAUCAUACACUCAACGCUGAAAUACAAGCGCUCGACACUUAAACAUAGUAAAUUCAAUGCUUUGUCAGUACCUGACGCUCUCAAAGGCACCUAACGCUGCAUGAAAGACUAGCAUGUAGUGUACAUUGGCUUCAUUUUCUAGAAUUUUCCUAGUAAAUAAAUAUAAAAAAAAAUACUACUAAAAAGUUGAGGUUACUUUCUUAACGUAUAAAAUACUAAAAACAUGCAAUAAAGCUUUAAAACAUAGAGACAUAUGUAUAAAAUACGCUAUAAAUUUACAUUAAUUCUAGCUAGGUUUAUCAGUGUAAACAUUUUAUGUGUUUUCCCUCAAACCUUCCCAGCCACGUAAUAUGAUUAAUAUCCAAGGUUUUGUGGUGCUAUUGAGGUGUUGUCUUACCAAGGAGACAUAUUCCCUUUUUUUUUUUAUCGUUAUACUUACAUUUCGAAAAUACAUAGAUAAAAUGUAAAAUAUAGAUACAUUGAUUCCCAUUUCAAUUCAGAUUCAUUUAAUUCAAAAUCCACUUAAUAUAAGUACAAAAUGGUGUAACCCUUAACCGCAUGAUAACUUUGGUGGGUUCAUAAUAACUUCGGAUGACUUACUAAAGAUCAUGACAGCAUUAAAAUUGUUACAUAAUAACAAUGAUAUGCUGCAAUGAAAAUUAUUAUAGCUUUUCCAUUUUUUUUAAAUAUUUCAAACCGUUGUACGAGGUAAAUAUAUGUUCCCAUCUUUACAAGUUUUGGUUUAGUCUACCUUAUUCUUUUCAAGAUCAGGAGCCAACUUUGAACCAAUAAGGGCUGGCCCCAGAGAUAUCCUUCUAAGAAAGGGCAAGAGUUAACCUUUCGGAUUGAAAACGAUUGUGGCAGUGCCUCUUAGAGUGGUUGUCUCAAUGCAACACCUCUAGUAUGAAGUAUAAACCACUGAGAAAUUGAUGUUUAAUUGGUUGAAAUAGCUAAUUACUUUGUCUUCAUCCACUUGUAGUCAUUAAGAAACAAUUCAACACUUCAAUCACAGGUAUUCUUUUAUGAAUUUAGAUAAAAUCUUCAGAGUAAAGAUAAUUCUAUACCAUCAUUCAAAUUAGUAAAUGAAAUUAUGUUCUCAUUAACAUGAAACCCUUUAUUCCUUUUUACCCUCCUUGCCCCAUCCUACAUCCACCCAACCUUUUAUCUCAUUAAACAUGAAAAUUAAGUCUACUUAAAAUACAAGUUAGGCCAUAACCAUAAUAUGAACGUUGAAUGUGUGAAGCUUUGAUAAACAUCUAAAUGACUAGGACUUCUGAUUUCCCUCAUUGAUGCAAGGGAAACUACAUUGUACCUCUACUUUUUCCAUUGUUAACGUUCCUUGUUAGAUGAUUAAUAUUUAAAUUGUCACAAUCACAUGAAGGCUACAUCUUUCCUUCCACACAUAGUCCACACCAUACGUUUCAACCUUGAGCUUCAUCAAAGCCCAUAAUAUAAGAAGCAAACUCUCCAUUCUCAACCAUAUCACAACAUUCAACAUACAAUGGCUGCAAUUUUCUGGGCUUUGGCUAUAAUAAGCCUCUGCUGCAAGCUAGAUUGCAAUGCUCAAGCACCAGCAACUGUGCCGGUAAAGUUGCCACCUACAACUUUGCCACCUACAACCCCAACUGCAACAUCUCCAUCUUCCAGCACGCCACUGGCGGUAACACAACCACCCACAGUGGUGGCAUCCCCUCCCACCACGAGUACACCACCAACCACAUCCCAGCCACCUGCAAAUGUAGCUCCCAAACCUGCUCCUGUGAAACCAUCAGCUCCCAAAGUUGCACCUGCUUCAAGCCCAAAAGCCCCACCACCUCAAAUUCCAAUACCACAACCACCAAAACCUUCACCGGUCUCACCACCCCCGCUACCACCACCACCUGUUGCGUCACCACCACCAUUACCACCACCAAAGAUAGCACCAACACCAGCUAAAACACCUCCAUCCCCUGCACCAGCAAAGGCAACACCAGCACCUGCACCCGCACCCACAAAGCCGGCACCAACACCAUCACCUGUUCCUCCACCGCCAGCCGCAACUCCAGCACCAGCACCAGUGAUAGAGGUACCAGCGCCAGCGCCAGCGCCAGUGAUAGAGGUACCGGCUCCAGCGCCUGCACACCAUAGGCAUAGAAGGCACAGGCACAGACACAGACACAGAAGGCAUCAAGCACCAGCUCCAGCUCCAACAAUUAUUCGCAAAAGUCCCCCAGCACCACCUGAUUCCACAGCAGAAUCAGACACAGCACCAGCACCAUCACCAAGUCUGAAUUUGGUAAUAUCUUUGUUUGAUGAAAUAUCAAAUUACAAUUAC